rnacentral:rRNA from 1 species
AGCGCUCUCUUCGGAGGGAGCGGCGGANGGGUGAGUAACGCGUGGGAAUGUACCCUUCUCUGCGGAAUAGCCACUGGAAACGGUGAGUAAUACCGCAUACGCCCUUCGGGGGAAAGAUUUAUCGGAGAAGGAUCAGCCCGCGUUAGAUUANAUNGNUUGNNGGGGUAACGGCCUACCAAGUCUACGAUCUAUAGCUGGUUUUAGAGGAUGAUCAGCCACACUGGGACUGAGACACGGCCCAGACUCCUACGGGAGGCAGCAGUGAGGAAUCUUAGACAAUGGGCGCAAGCCUGAUCUAGCCAUGCCGCGUGUGUGAUGAAGGCCUUAGGGUCGUAAAGCACUUUCGCCAGAGAUGAUAAUGACAGUAUCUGGUAAAGAAACCCCGGCUAACUCCGUGCCAGCAGCCGCGGUAAUACGGAGGGGGUUAGCGUUGUUCGGAAUUACUGGGCGUAAAGCGCACGUAGGCGGAUCAGAAAGUUGGGGGUGAAAUCCCAGGGCUCAACCCUGGAACUGCCUCCAAAACUCCUGGUCUUGAGUUCGAGAGAGGUGAGUGGAAUUCCGAGUGUAGAGGUGAAAUUCGUAGAUAUUCGGAGGAACACCAGUGGCGAAGGCGGCUCACUGGCUCGAUACUGACGCUGAGGUGCGAAAGUGUGGGGAGCAAACAGGAUUAGAUACCCUGGUAGUCCACACCGUNNCNAUGAAUGC